rnacentral:rRNA from 1 species
AACGUAGGUUCCGAGCGUUAUCCGGAUUUACUGGGCGUAAAGCGCGUUCAGGCGGUUUGGCAAGUCGGGCAUGAAAUCUCUCGGCUCAACCGGGGGAGGUUGUCCGAUACUGCUGGACUUGAGGGCAGUAGAGGGUGGUGGAAUUCCGGGUGUAGUGGUGAAAUGCGUAGAUAUCCGGAGGAACACCAGUGGCGAAAGCGGCCACCUGGACUGCACCUGACGCUGACACGCGAAAGCUAGGGGAGCGAACGGG